GACGAACGCUGGCGGCGUGCUUAACACAUGCAAGUCGAACGGAAAGGCCCUGCUUUUGUGGGGUGCUCGAGUGGCGAACGGGUGAGUAACACGUGAGUAACCUGCCCUUGACUUUGGGAUAACUUCAGGAAACUGGGGCUAAUACCGGAGAGGAGCUCCUGCUGCAGGGGGGGGGUUGGAAAGUUUCGGCGGUUGGGGAUGGACUCGCGGCUUAUCAGCUUGUUGGUGGGGUAGUGGCUUACCAAGGCUUUGACGGGUAGCCGGCCUGAGAGGGUGACCGGCCACAUUGGGACUGAGAUACGGCCCAGACUCCUACAGGAGGCAGCAGUGGGGAAUAUUGCACAAUGGGCGGAAGCCUGAUGCAGAAACGCCGCGUGCGGGAUGACGGCCUUCGGGUUGUAAACCGCUUUCGCCUGUGACGAAGCGUGAGUGACGGUAAUGGGUAAAGAAGCACCGGCUAACUACGUG
rnacentral:rRNA from 1 species